rnacentral:rRNA from 1 species
UACAGAGGGGGCAAGCGUUGUUCGGAAUUACUGGGCGUAAAGGGCGCGUAGGCGGCCUUCUAAGUCGAACGUGAAAUCCCCGGGCUCAACCCGGGAACUGCGUCCGAUACUGGAAGGCUUGAAUCCGGGAGAGGGAUGCGGAAUUCCAGGUGUAGCGGUGAAAUGCGUAGAUAUCGUGAGGAACACCAGAGGCGAAGGCGGUUACCUGGACAGUUACUGACGCUCAGGCACGAAAGCAUGGGGAGCAAAAGGG